AACCUUCAAACAGGCGUGGCCUUUCUCCCCUAAAAAACGGCAUCCAAUGAGAAUGUGCCACGUAGACACUCCAUUUUCAAACCUUGUAGCCGCAUUGCAGUGAAACUCUCCCUUUUCCAUCUCCCUCCCUCCCUCCCUCAGGAACCACUCCCUCCAUCGAGCGCUAGCCACCAAGAGCCUAAGCAGUAAGCAACCAAAAUUUCAGUGAAAAUUGGACAACUUACCUCAUGCAACAAACCAUAAUUUGCAGAGCCACUUCUUUAGGACCUUCAAAACAUUUUUACAGUAAAGGGUACAAGAAAAUGCAAAAGCAAAGAACCCUUAUUUUCUCUAACCCUAACCUUGUGGGCUUGAAUAGAGAAAAACAGAGCAACUUUUUGAAUGACUUAUGCACGAAACAAGAAGCCCACUUGGUGAAAAGGCAUGGUUCAGAGGAAAGAAAAAAUUUAGAUCGUGAAAAUAAAGACUUCCUUUCACACAUUGCUCAGCACCAAAAACAAAGAACUAGUUGUUUCCAUGAAAGAGAGAGAAAGACAGAGCAAGCAAGAGAAAUAGUUGGUAUCUUAAAUCGAAGCCAUUGACGGAAACACAAAGUUUGACUUGUUCGAUGCCUUGCCUGAUGAUCUUGUCAUUUCUAUUCUCUGCAAACUCAGCUCCACAGCCGGAAGCCCCUUCGAUUUCAUCAACGUUUUGAUAACGUGCAAGAGGUUAAACGGAUUGGGUCUCCAUUUUCUAGCAUUAUUCAAAGCUUCACAAAAAACGUUUGCGAUAAGAGUGAAGAACUGGUCCAACUCGCUCACAGUUUGCUAUCCCCUGUAAUGUGGUUCAUGGAAUUUAGUGUGGAUUGCUAA